UUUCAGUUUCUGUUUGGAAACACGAAACUGCUUGAAGAGCACAGAGUAACUACACAUUAAGCCAAUCAGUCAUCCUUUCAUUUCAUCACUUUCAUUUUGAACUGCUGCUGCCACCUGCUGGUUGGGACAUUUAUAAAUUCCUUGAUGUCACAGGAGGUGAGGAGGUUGCAAGAAUUUAGUCUCCUAAACAGAAAGAGGGUUCGGCCCGUUCUGGUUGAAAACACCAGGUCCAACAUGUUAUUAUCCAACAGAAUUGUCUGUUGUGUUACACCUUGACAGAGUGGAUGUCUAUGGCAACAUAUCAAAUUGCUGGGCAGGAAACCGUAUUACCAAGAUCUAAUCCGGCAUCACGGUCACAAAAGUAGUGAAAUGGGACAACAGAUGAGAGAGAGACAGAAAGAAAAGGGUCAUGGGUAGUUAGGUAGGUCUUUUCUCCUUCAUUUACUGUUCAGUAAUUGACAGGAAAAGCAGAACAAUGGUCUUUCCCAGUAAGGUGGUUGACCUCUUCUCAACUUACUCCCAAUAUACAAACAGUUUCUAACGUGAACACACACAUAGUGUCGUUUAUUCACUGUAUAGAGGCGAAACUUUGAAGAGAUUGAAAAGACAAAGAGUAAGAGUAAGUAUGAACUUUUUGUUGACUUCUACCAUUUUCUGGCCAAAUUUAAAAGGUAUAGUUCACUCAAAAAUGAAAAUUUAUGUAAUCAUCAUGUAACAGUUCACUCAGCUCGCGAUGCGAUUCACGAUACAGAUCUCAUGAUCACAAUAUUUUUUCAUGAUUUAUUUUUACAAAAGUUUUACAAAACAAUUCUACAAAUUAGAAAUGAAAAACUGCCCUUGUAU